CGGGACACGUGGUAUCCUGUCUGAAUAUGGGGGGACCAUCCUCCAAGGCUAAAUACUCCUGACUGACCGAUAGUGAACCAGUACCGUGAGGGAAAGGCGAAAAGAACCCCGGCGAGGGGAGUGAAAAAGAACCUGAAACCGUGUACGUACAAGCAGUGGGAGCACGCUUAGGCGUGUGACUGCGUACCUUUUGUAUAAUGGGUCAGCGACUUAUAUUCUGUAGCAAGGUUAACCGAAUAGGGGAGCCGAAGGGAAACCGAGUCUUAACUGGGCGUUAAGUUGCAGGGUAUAGACCCGAAACCCGGUGAUCUAGCCAUGGGCAGGUUGAAGGUUGGGUAACACUAACUGGAGGACCGAACCGACUAAUGUUGAAAAAUUAGCGGAUGACUUGUGGCUGGGGGUGAAAGGCCAAUCAAACCGGGAGAUAGCUGGUUCUCCCCGAAAGCUAUUUAGGUAGCGCCUCGUGAAUUCAUCUCCGGGGGUAGAGCACUGUUUCGGCAAGGGGGUCAUCCCGACUUACCAACCCGAUGCAAACUGCGAAUACCGGAGAAUGUUAUCACGGGAGACACACGGCGGGUGCUAACGUCCGUCGUGAAGAGGGAAACAACCCAGACCGCCAGCUAAGGUCCCAAAGUCAUGGUUAAGUGGGAAACGAUGUGGGAAGGCCCAGACAGCCAGGAUGUUGGCUUAGAAGCAGCCAUCAUUUAAAGAAAGCGUAAUAGCUCACUGGUCGAGUCGGCCUGCGCGGAAGAUGUAACGGGGCUAAACCAUGCACCGAAGCUGCGGCAGCGACGCUGAUGCGUUGUUGGGUAGGGGAGCGUUCUGUAAGCCUGUGAAGGUGUGCUGUGAGGCAUGCUGGAGGUAUCAGAAGUGCGAAUGCUGACAUAAGUAACGAUAAAGCGGGUGAAAAGCCCGCUCGCCGGAAGACCAAGGGUUCCUGUCCAACGUUAAUCGGGGCAGGGUGAGUCGACCCCUAAGGCGAGGCCGAAAGGCGUAGUCGAUGGGAAACAGGUUAAUAUUCCUGUACUUGGUGUUACUGCGAAGGGGGGACGGAGAAGGCUAUGUUGGCCGGGCGACGGUUGUCCCGGUUUAAGCGUGUAGGCUGGUUUUCCAGGCAAAUCCGGAAAAUCAAGGCUGAGGCGUGAUGACGAGGCACUACGGUGCUGAAGCAACAAAUGCCCUGCUUCCAGGAAAAGCCUCUAAGCAUCAGGUAACAUCAAAUCGUACCCCAAACCGACACAGGUGGUCAGGUAGAGAAUACCAAGGCGCUUGAGAGAACUCGGGUGAAGGAACUAGGCAAAAUGGUGCCGUAACUUCGGGAGAAGGCACGCUGAUAUGUAGGUGAAGCGACUUGCUCGUGGAGCUGAAAUCAGUCGAAGAUACCAGCUGGCUGCAACUGUUUAUUAAAAACACAGCACUGUGCAAACACGAAAGUGGACGUAUACGGUGUGACGCCUGCCCGGUGCCGGAAGGUUAAUUGAUGGGGUCAGCGCAAGCGAAGCUCUUGAUCGAAGCCCCGGUAAACGGCGGCCGUAACUAUAACGGUCCUAAGGUAGCGAAAUUCCUUGUCGGGUAAGUUCCGACCUGCACGAAUGGCGUAAUGAUGGCCAGGCUGUCUCCACCCGAGACUCAGUGAAAUUGAACUCGCUGUGAAGAUGCAGUGUACCCGCGGCAAGACGGAAAGACCCCGUGAACCUUUACUAUAGCUUGACACUGAACAUUGAGCCUUGAUGUGUAGGAUAGGUGGGAGGCUUUGAAGUGUGGACGCCAGUCUGCAUGGAGCCGGCCUUGAAAUACCACCCUUUAAUGUUUGAUGUUCUAACGUUGACCCGUGAUCCGGGUUGCGGACAGUGUCUGGUGGGUAGUUUGACUGGGGCGGUCUCCUCC
rnacentral:rRNA from 1 species